rnacentral:pre_miRNA from 1 species
UCGCCAGAAUCAGGUAGGCAGUGUAUUGUUAGCUGGCUGCUUUGGGUCAAGUCAGCAGCCACAGCUACCCUGCCACUUGCUUCUGGAUAG